GUACACCACAGUCAUCACCGUCUGUUUGACCACCUUCCUGCUGAUGAAGCCCUCCAGGACCUUUGCGAUCUUUAGGCCAUUCUCUGCAUCCCGUGCUCGGAACUCCUCCACCUGGAACAAACAAAUGGCCGUGUUGCAGAACAAACCGAGUUGCAGUUGGACAGAUUUGCACAUCCACUGUACCUGUCGGGUGCUACGGAAGGUGUACAUGUGGUAGAGGAUCGGGAUGAGCUUCCUGUCGUAGGCCGGGUUCAGGAUGUCGCUAUUAAUUUUGAGGUUCUUGACCAUCAUAUCGACCAAAUUACACCACUGCUCCCUGGGAAGGACGUCAUACUCCUAGAGGGAGAGGAACAGACAUGGGUUAUAUUCAUUUAGUGAUUUGAAUAUUUUCCUCAUAUGAAAAAUAACAUGUAGUAUGAUUACAGUAAUAUCUUGCAAAAAGCAAAGAAAUUGCAAGUCACAUUUUGUCAAACAGUCACUGAAAAUAAAAAAAAUUGCUUUCAUGUCUUCAGAAAAAUGAA